AUGAUACAUUUUCUGUGAACAUAAAAACUCUUUGCUGAACCAAGGCUUAACCUGUGCAUGCACUAUCUCUGUACUCUGUACUCUGUACUCCUGACUAGAGCUUGCUCUAGAUGGGUUAACUCAUACCUGUUAAGCCUGGUUAUAAAACAUACAGAAAAACAUAGACAUAGAUACAUAUCCAGAUCAUGUACAACACAUACAUCACUAAGUCAAGCACAACUCUAACGUUAUACACAACUAUAACAUCUCUUUACAAGUUACAUGUCCACUCUAUACGAUUACAAGCUCUUUUACUCUUUCUCUUUCUGUACUCUGCUGGACUGUCCCUGUACACUGUACACUGAACCUGCAAAACUGGGGUUAAGGGAGUGGGAUGAGCUCUAUAGCCCAGUGAGUAGAACAGUAAAAUAUCUCAGUAAAACAUGAUCUCAUGAAAUGUGUCAUAACACAAACAAGCCACAUCAAGAGUAAACCUGUCA
rnacentral:lncRNA from 1 species